rnacentral:rRNA from 1 species
GAUGAACGCUGGCGGCGUGCCUAAUACAUGCAAGUCGAACGAAACUUCUUUAUCACCGAGUGCUUGCACUCACCGAUAAAGAGUUGAGUGGCGAACGGGUGAGUAACACGUGGGCAACCUGCCCAAAAGAGGGGGAUAACACUUGGAAACAGGUGCUAAUACCGCAUAACCAUAGUUACCGCAUGGUAACUAUGUAAAAGGUGGCUAUACUACCGCUUUUGGAUGGGCCCGCGGCGCAUUAGCUAGUUGGUAGGGUAAAGGCUUACCAAGGCAAUGAUGCGUAGCCGAAUUGAGAGGUUGAUCGGCCACAUUGGGACUGAGACACGGCCCAAACUCCUACGGGAGGCGGCAGUAGGGAAUCUUCCACAACGGGCGAAAGCCUGAUGGAGCAACGCCGCGUGGGUGAAGAAGGUCUUCGGAUCGUAAAACCCUGUUGUUAGAGAAGAAAGUGCGUGAGAGUAACUGUUCACGUUUCGACGGUAUCUAACCAGAAAGCCACGGCUAACUACGUG